rnacentral:rRNA from 1 species
UACGGGGGGGGGCAAGCGUUUGUUCGGAAUUACUGGGCGUAAAGGGCGCGUAGGCGGCCUGCUAAGUCACACGUGAAAUCCCUCGGCUCAACCGGGGAACUGCGUGUGAUACUGGCGGGCUUGAAUUCGGGAGAGGGAUGUGGAAUUCCAGGUGUAGCGGUGAAAUGCGUAGAUAUCUGGAGGAACACCGGUGGCGAAGGCGACGUCCUGGACCGGCAUUGACGCUGAGGCGCGAAAGCCAGGGGAGCAAAGCGGG